rnacentral:rRNA from 1 species
ACAGCUAAGACCGCAUAGGUACGGACACUGCAUGGUGACCGUAUUAAAAGUGCCUCAAAGCACUGGUAGAGGAUGGACUUAUGGCGCAUUAGCUGGUUGGCGGGGUAACGGCCCACCAAGGCGACGAUGCGUAGCCGACCUGAGAGGGUGACCGGCCACACUGGGACUGAGACACGGCCCAGACUCCUACGGGAGGCAGCAUG